CGCUCCUAUUAGCUAGUUGGUGAGGUAAUGGCUCACCAAGGCUACGAUGGGUAGGGGUUCUUAGUGGAAGGUCCCCCACACUGGCACUGAGAUACGGGCCAGACUCCUACGGGAGGCAGCAGUAGGGAAUAUUGGUCAAUGGGCGCAAGCCUGAACCAGCCAUGCCGCGCGCAGGAUGAAGGCUCUCUGAGUUGUAAACUGCUUUUGUACAGGAGCAAAAAAAUCCCUGCGGGGGUUCUUGAGAGUACUGUAAGAAUAAGCACCGGCUAAUUCCGUGCCAGCAGCCGCGGUAAUACGGGAGGUGCAAGCGUUAUCCGGUUUUAUUGGGUUUAAAGGGUGCGUAGGCGGCUUAUUAAGUCAGUUGUGAAAUCCUAGUGCUUAACGCUAGAACUGCGAUUGAUACUAUU
rnacentral:rRNA from 2 species